rnacentral:rRNA from 1 species
GGAAUAUUGCACAAUGGGCGCAAGCCUGAUGCAGCCAUGCCGCGUGUGUGAAGAAGGCCUUCGGGUUGUAAAGCACUUUCAGCGGGGAGGAAGGCGAUAAGGUUAAUAACCUUGUCGAUUGACGUUACCCGCAGAAGAAGCACCGGCUAACUCCGUGCCAGCAGCCGCGGUAAUACGGAGGGUGCAAGCGUUAAUCGGAAUUACUGGGCGUAAAGCGCACGCAGGCGGUCUGUCAAGUCGGAUGUGAAAUCCCCGGGCUCAACCUGGGAACUGCAUUCGAA